rnacentral:rRNA from 1 species
GUGCAGCCACCUAACAUUGAAGCUUACGUUCUGCCAAGGCUAGAGAUGCGCUUUGAAAGUUUCAAAGAAGCAAAGAACUUCUACAACGUCUAUGCAAAGCACGCGGGUUUUGCUGUCAGGGAAGGCCCCAAGGUUGAGAACAUAAUCUACCUUUAUUGCAGGUGCUAUGGAGUUUAUGAAUCGAAGGUGUCAGAAGCAAGUAGACAGCGGGACAAGACCACAGCCAGGACUAACUGCGGGGCUAAAAUGGGGAUGAAGAGGGAAAAGGAUGGAACACUUGCCGUAAAAGAGAUAAUCUGGGAACACAACCACAAGGUACAGCUCACCCCACAAAUGCUUGUCUUCUUGCACUCCCACAAAAACUUUGACAAGGCGAUCUUGGAGUACGUCAAGUACCUGCAGUUCAAAGGCAUUGAACACGCGCAAAUCAUGAGCACACUGGGCAGCGAUGACCCUGGUAGCUACUUCCUCGAAAUGAAUGCCAAAGACCUAAUUAACAUCAAAGCAAAAAAUUCAAGGAUGGAUGACGUGGACGAUGUCCUGAAGACUGUCAACUUCUUUAGGGAUAUGAAAGCAAUAAAUAUGGAAUUCUUCUGCGACAUACAACUUGAUGAGUCCGACAGAGUGAAGAACAUAUUCUGGGCGAACGCGAGCUGCCGAGGGGCAUAUCAAGAUUUUGGUGACCGCGUGACGUUUGACACCACGUAUAAGACCAACAAAUACCAUACGCCACAUGGAGUGUUUGUGGGUACUAACAACCACUUUUAGACUACAAUCUUUGCUUUCGCCCUGAUAAGAGAUGAGGAUGUAGAUUCAUUCAGAUGGCUUUUCAAAACAUUUUUAAAAUGCAUGAGAGGGAAGGCUCCUACAUGCAUCCUCCCAGACCAGUGCCCGGCAAUGGCUUUGGCGAUCCCAGAUGUUUUCAAGAACACAGUACACAAGCUAUGCCGCUGGCACAUUAUGAAGAAGUAUAGAGAACACCUCGCGUACCUGUACCCUCCACAAAACCUUAAGGAUGAAUUCACAACAAUCCUCAACUGGCCCCUCAUGCCAACUGAGUUUGAGACUGCCUGGAAAGAACUCAUGGAUACGUACAACCUCCAUGAUGAUGCCAUGAUGGUGGCAAUGUGGAACGAGCGCGAGAGAUGGUUAUUAGCUUACUUCAUGGAAAUUUUUUGUGCCAGAAUGACAUCGACACAACGGAGUGAGAGCAUGAACUAUGUGCUGAAGAAGAACUAA